CCUACGGGGGGCAGCAGUAGGGAAUCUUCGGCAAUGGACGGAAGUCUGACCGAGCAACGCCGCGUGAGUGAAGAAGGUUUUCGGAUCGUAAAGCUCUGUUGUAAGAGAAGAACGAGUGUGAGAGUGGAAAGUUCACACUGUGACGGUAUCUUACCAGAAAGGGACGGCUAACUACGUGCCAGCAGCCGCGGUAAUACGUAGGUCCCGAGCAUUGUCCGGAUUUAUUGGGCGUAAAGCGAGCGCAGGCGGUUAGAUAAGUCUGAAGUUAAAGGCUGUGGCUUAACCAUAGUACGCUUUGGAAACUGUUUAACUUGAGUGCAAGAGGGGAGAGUGGAAUUCCAUGUGUAGCGGUGAAAUGCGUAGAUAUAUGGAGGAACACCGGUGGCGAAAGCGGCUCUCUGGCUUGUAACUGACGCUGAGGCUCGAAAGCGUGGGGAGCAAACAGGAUCAGAUACCCGAGUAGUC
rnacentral:rRNA from 1 species